CGUUGUCUUCGGACAACCAGCCAAUGCUUCAGCACUCUGUGAGAAGUGCCUUCGGGUGAGUGCCAACCAAAGUUUCAGCAGUCUGUGAGAAACGCCUUCGGGUGACUGCCAAUAGCCUUGUAGCCUGAAAGAGGAAGCCCAUGUGGCGGUAACUCC
rnacentral:sRNA from 18 species